UCUCUCUCUCUCUCUCUCUCACACACACACACACACACACACACACACAUGCAUAUACACAGUUGUACACCCACACAGAGUGAGCUGAUUCACAUACAAAAAGAAACAAUUUAAUAUCUUCUCAUGUAAUUUUUUGACCUUCAAUUGUUUUAUUUGCUAUUUUUUUCUAGUAUGUUAAAAAACACGUAUCUGAUUGUAACGACUUUGGGGUUGUAUAUUUGUAUGGAUAACUUAAUAGUGGCCUCAAUUCCCGUAAUAGUUGGAUUGAACCCUGAUAAAGUAUGGAUAUUGUCAUGCAGUAAAAAUAUUUCUGGCAUAAUAUGAUGUUUCACUGUAUUUUUGUUGCCCUGGGAGUCUUCAAUGUAUAAUUUCUAACAUAUUAUCAAGUUAAUUACAUUGCUUUCCUGUUCCCCCAAAAAAAAAAUAAAAAAAAUCAUGCUAAUCUACCUCUUGCGGUGGUGUAAUUUUAUCUUCUGCAGAAAGAAGCUGAAUAUGGAUGAAAUUCAUGAUAUCCAUGGUUUGAGAUUGAUUGUCGAAACUGAGGAUGAUUGUUAUAAGGCUUUGAGAAUUGUUCACAAGCUAUGGGGUGAAAUACCUGGGAGGUUCAAGGAUUACAUAGUUUAUCCCAAGUUUAAUGGGUAUGCUAUUUCUAAAAGUUUUAAUGUCUUAUUCUACAUAUCAUUUGUUAUUAUACUUAAUUCAAACUCUAAAAUUUCAGGUACCGAUCUCUUCAUACAGUAGUGAUAGGUGAGGGUAUGGUUCCACUUGAAGUUCAAAUUCGAACAAAAGAGAUGCAUUUGCAAGCUGAGUAUGGAUUUGCUGCUCAUUGGAGAUACAAGGAAGGUGAUUGUGAACAUUCCUCUUUUGUGCUUCAGAUGGUUGAAUGGGCGCGUUGGGUUGUCACCUGGCAGUGUGAGGCUAUGAGCAAAGACAGGUCAUCCAUUAGCUUUGUUGACUCCAUGAAGCUGCCUUGCACAUUCCCUUCUCAUUCUGUGGAUUGCCCAUUUUCUUGCAAACCACAUUGUGGCUCAGAUGGACCUGUCUUUGUUAUCAUGAUUGAGAAUGAUAAGGUUCGUUCUUCAGAAAUUUUGCCCCCAUUUGGAUAAAUUAUAAAUGAUAUAUAUAUGUGUUGCAUGGACACUUUUAAGUAGGAUGGCCCGUGUUCGACACGUCUCGAAUAUCGACGCUACUCGGACACUGUCAUGGUCAUAUUUAAAAUAUUUUAACAAGAUAUAAAUGAAGAAUUUUAAAUAUUUUAAUCAGCGCGUCGACGUAAAUGAUGUUUGACCCAGGGUUUUUAGCGUUCAAGGGGUCACAUUCUUAUCCCACCUUCCCAUUAGUAUUGUUUGGAACUUGAGUGUAUCAUACUUAUACGUACAGAAUCUUUCUCGAGUUCCAGGGAAUUUGUGUUCUUUGUGAAUUAGUUUUUUUAAAUUCAGUCAUUUGUCCAAUGGAUUUGUCAUGCUCGAUAUGACUACUGAUCUGGUGUUUGGAUUUUGCAGAUGUCCGUGCAGGAGCUCCCAGCAAAUUCAUCUGUUACGGAUCUGUUGGAAAGAACAGGUCGAGGCAGUUAUAGAUGGACUCCCUAUGGAUUUCCUCUGAAGGAAGAGUUGAGGCCGCGGCUGAACCAUGAACCAGUUAGUGAUCCCACCUGCAAGCUAAAAAUGGGUGAUGUGGUGGAAUUAACUCCGGCCAUCCCAGACAAGUCACUGACAGAAUACCGGGAGGAGAUUCAACGUAUGUAUGAUAGGGGCCUUAACAUAUCAAGCGCAGUGCCUGCUGCCAACACCAUGGCUAGGUUAAGUAGUUGACCCCUUUGGCUCCCCUGAUUGUAUUAUGCGAUUGAUACAAAAUCACGACUAGUUAUUCUGUAGAUAAACGAUAACGAUCUGUAAAGAACACCUUAUUGUUUGUUUAUGAAGGUAAACGAUCUUCUGAAACUGGCUAUUAUCUUUAACAAAUUUAGCAAUUGCAAUUAAGCUGAAGCUCUUAGUGAAUGUUAAAUCACGAACAAUUCCCAGCCUCUCUUCUUUAGUGAAUGAAGUGCAAGGCGUUGAUUCCUACCAAUUUUAUACGUAUAAAAUAAGCUAAAUAAUCUCUCUACUUAAUAGGGGAUUUGGCUUGCGAACUUCCAAUAACUCGACAAUUGACGUGAAAUAUUUGACAGGAACACCAAUUGAAACCAAAAGCCACAUUUUAAAUUUGUAAUAUCAUUAGCCACGGGGAAAAUGAACAGGUCUAAUCCUACCAUAUAGUAGGAGACAAAUGAACAAGGUCUGUAUAGAAGACGACCAUAAGUAAUCCGUUCAGGAAGCACGUCGAAACUACGUUGUUUUGACGUUGAAGCAAUACUGCCAUCGUACAAUUCACACACGCAUAUACACAGUUGUACACCCACACAGAGUGAGCUGAUUCACAUACAAAAAGAAACAAUUUAAUAUCUUCUCAUGUAAUUUUUUGACCUUCAAUUGUUUUAUUUGCUAUUUUUUUCGAGUCUGUUAAAAAACACGUAUCUGAUUGUAACGACUUUGGGGUUGUAUAUUUGUAUGGAUAACUUAAUAGUGGCCUCAAUUCCCGUAAUAGUUGGAUUGAACCCUGAUAAAGUAUGGAUAUUGUCAUGCAGUAAAAAUAUUUCUGGCAUAAUAUGAUGUUUCACUGUAUUUUUGUUGCCCUGGGAGUCUUCAAUGUAUAAUUUCUAACAUAUUAUCAAGUUAAUUACAUUGCUUUCCUGUUCCCCCAAAAAAAAAAUAAAAAAAAUCAUGCUAAUCUACCUCUUGCGGUGGUGUAAUUUUAUCUUCUGCAGAAAGAAGCUGAAUAUGGAUGAAAUUCAUGAUAUCCAUGGUUUGAGAUUGAUUGUCGAAACUGAGGAUGAUUGUUAUAAGGCUUUGAGAAUUGUUCACAAGCUAUGGGGUGAAAUACCUGGGAGGUUCAAGGAUUACAUAGUUUAUCCCAAGUUUAAUGGGUAUGCUAUUUCUAAAAGUUUUAAUGUCUUAU
rnacentral:lncRNA from 1 species